rnacentral:rRNA from 1 species
UACAGGGGGUGCAAACGUUGCUCGGAAUUAUUGGGCGUAAAGCGCACGUAGGCGGUUCGUUAUGUCAGAUGUGAAAGCCCUUGGCUCAACUGAGGAAGUGCGCCCGAAACUGCAGAGCUUGAGUGCCGGAGAGGGUGGCGGAAUUCCCCAAGUAGAGGUGAAAUUCGUAGAUAUGGGGAGGAACACCGGUGGCGAAGGCGGCCACCUGGACGGUAACUGACGCUGAGACGCGAAAGCGUGGGGAGCAAACAGG